rnacentral:rRNA from 1 species
AUUGAACGCUGGCGGCAGGCCUAACACAUGCAAGUCGAACGAGUGGCGGACGGGUGAGUAAUGUCUGGGAAACUGCCUGAUGGAGGGGGAUCACUACUGGAAACGGUAGCUAAUACCGCAUACUAUCGGAUGUGCCCAGAUGGGAUUAGCUAGUAGGUGGGGUAACGGCUCACCUAGGCGACGACCCCUAGCUGGUUUGAGAGGAUGACCAGCCAAACUGGAACGGAGACACGGUCAGGCUUCCUACGGGAGGCAGCAGGGGGGAAUAUUGGACAAUGAGCGCAAGCCUGAUGCAGCCAUGCCGGGUGUAUGAAGAAGGCCUUCGGGUUGUAAAGUACUUUCAGCGGGGAGGCGUUACCCGCAGAGAAAGCACCGGCUAACUACGUGCCAGCAGCCGCGGUAAUUC